rnacentral:rRNA from 1 species
GAGAGUUAAACAGUACGUGAAAUUGUUGAAAGGGAAACGAUUGAAGUCAGUCAUACUAACGGGAAAUCAACCUCUUGAGUUUGGUCUCGUGGGUUUUGAAGAGUUUAAAAGCCUUCGGAUUUUCGAGAUUGGAUUCUUCUGGUGUACUUUCUCGUACGGUUAGUCAACAUCGGUUUUGAAUGUCAUAAAAUGACUGGAGGAAUGUGGCUUCGAUCUCGUAUUGAAGUGUUAUAGCCUUUGGUAGAUGUGAUGUUCGAGACCGAGGAUUGCAACGGAUACCCUUCUGGGCUAUUCGUCUGAUCUCUGAAACGUUGCCUUGAUGUCGAAAGCUUGCUUAUGAUGUUGACGAAAUGGUUCCAAAUGA